rnacentral:rRNA from 1 species
UGGCGACCGGCGCACGGGUGAGUAACGCGUAUGCAACUUACCUAUCAGAGGGGGAUAGCCCGGCGAAAGUCGGAUUAAUACCCCAUGAAACAGGGGUCCCGCAUGGGAAUAUUUGUUAAAGAUCCAUCGCUGAUAGAUAGGCAUGCGUUCCAUUAGGCAGUUGGCGGGGUAACGGCCCACCAAACCGACGAUGGAUAGGGGUUCUGAGAGGAAGGUCCCCCACAUUGGUACUGAGACACGGACCAA